rnacentral:lncRNA from 1 species
GAGGUUUAAAUUUCAGCGUGUCAUGCAGAAAGUCCUUUCCAUUAAUUUAUAUGUGGAUCCAGAAGGUCAUUUAAUAUUGAACUUCAUGGUAUGUUUUCUGUUCCUUUAAGUUGGGGUAUUUGCAAAUGAUUCAAACAUUUUAUUCGUAUGUGAAUCUACUGCAGGGAAGUGUAGAGCAAAAGCAUACUUGCUUUGAGAUGGUCCGCAUUUUAGGGACAAACAAGCAGGUAAUACAUCAUUCAUACAUUUCUUAUUAACUCUGUAGCUCGAUUUUAGCUUAUUUUCUCUUCCACUGAGAGUCUGAGAUAAGCAGUAUAAUUUAAAAUCUCUAUUUCUCUGAACAGAGUCAUACUUGGAAAGUAUUCUGGCUUGUUUCACUGUUUUGAUCUAUAGUAUUGACAUCUAGUGAUCUACACAUGACAUGAAAAAUGUCCAGGUCCGUGUACAAUCAUGAGAUCUAGUCAAUUAGUAUUUCCCCUUAAUUAAGUCAAUGGCAUGUAUAUAUUUUGUGUUUCCGUGUGGACAAAGUAGUUGAUAGGAGAUCUUAUAGGAAAAGCAACACAGUUUGAAUAAGUGUUCCCUGGAUUCCCAAUUAUUUUCAGUUUGUGGAACAAAUGCGAGAACUCGCAUAAGCUACACAGGAUAGGACGUGGUAUGCUAAAGAUAGCUUUAUAUGGAUGCUUAUAAUAAGAAAAUCACUUAAAAUCUAGAUGCAAUAAAGCUAAAUUUCAGAUAAGGUUUUUAGUUACAUCAACAAGUUUAUUGUUUUAGAAAUAAUUUAGUAAAAAUACGAUGUUGGAGCAUCCAAUACUUUUUGCAAUUAGAUAUGAAAACAAAGAAAUUGAUGGGUUGCAUCGAACUAAAUAUUGAUAUUUGUGCAAUUAGAUGUAGAAAACAAAGAAAUAUACCUAAAUUUAGAGUUCUGGAACAUAAAGAUGUUAGAGAAUAACAACGCAGCGGAAACAAUAGUAAAGAGAAAAUCGAAAGAAAAUAAUCACACAAGAAACAAAAUUUACGUGGUUCACUCCACGGUCGGCGGUUGAUCAGUUCACUAUCUUGUGGAAAUUUCGUACAUCUUACGAUUGUUAGAUCCUCUCCAUAUAUAAAUAUAAGAAACCCGAAUUCAACCUGGAAGUACAAAACUACUUUGGGAGUUUGGAUAAGUAGAUCUUCAAAAUGAGGAUAUAGGAAAUGGAAUACCACACAUGAAGAAAUCUCUACCUUCUCUAUUAAACCUACUCAGCAAAAUCAUUAUAUCAUCCCAAUUCCAUCAGUCUUCUCGGUGGAUCCACUGAGUGACGACGCUGAUCUGUUUGCUUAUGCAUGGAACAUAUAAGGAUGACUACCUCACCUUGUCCUUUGCUAAAAUUGGUCUUCUAGUAUAGCUAUCUGAAGUAGGAAAAAAAUUGUUAUAAUUAAUAAGGCUUAAUUUAAAUACAUAUCAAUCUUUUUAAAUUUCUUUGUCAGUCAGUGUCUUUCGAAAGCAACUUUCGAAAGCUACAUUGGACCAUCCAGAGUAAGAAAAUAUAUACAUAUGUAUGCCUUAGUACUGUUUCUAAAAUCCUUUGACUUUUCUUUUCUUUUUCUUUUUGUUAAACAUCAAGAGAAUAUGAAUAUGCCCCAGUAUUACUAAAAUAAGAUGGAGUACUCAAUUCAUUAAAUUGUCAUAGUAUUUAUUUUACUGAUUAAUUAAUUUACUCUUUGAUUUCUUUGUAACAACUCUAGUUGUUUUAUUUGUACUUCAGUUUGCUGUGUUCUUUGCCACGAAUAACUUCCUUUUCACCAAGUUCAACUUUUUAUUUCUUAUACUAUUCCUGUCGAUACUUGUGUAUAAUUAGAAAAUUCUAUAAUCCAUCAUUCAGAAAGCACUAGGAUGUAGCUCUUUGACAACCGAGUUAUCCUGAUCGAUUGUAGGCCUAGUCGGAAAGGAAAAACUAUGGCACUAUAGCUACACUCUUCUCGUAUACUUUCAAGUUUUACACAUUAGAUAUCCUUUUUUAAUUCAUACUAAUCAAAUAAAUAAAAAAAGAAAAUAAAAGAUGUUUGCUUGAUUCAUUCUAGUAGAAUAACAAAUCUUCAAAAAUUGUAGAAGUUAUCAAUAUUUCACUUGUGUGUAAUAUAUAUCUCUGGGAGCAAAUUAAACAAAUACAUGGAAAGAACAUUAAUAUCACACAUUCACACCUUUAAACUGCAAAAUUUUGUAUAUUUGAAGACAUAUCAUAUUUUUGAAGAAGCUAAUCAAUUGUGAAGUGGGUCUGGUCCACCUGGAACAGUCCGGUCUGACAUACCAUAAAUUGGUUCGACGCCAUCAUUUUUGGCUUCAAUGGGAACUGCUGCAGGAAAAUGCAUUGAGAACGGGGAACGGAAUUCUGGUUCUGGUUUAAAUUCCAUCUCUGUUCCUUCAAUUGUAACUCUCUUCAUAUCGCGGCAAUUUGAGAGCUGAGUGAAGGUGAGCAUGACCAUGAUGAACAGAAAUGGGACCCCGGGAUUUUGAGUACCCAUGAUUCUUAUGAUGAGAAAUAGCUGAAGAACUAGUGCCCAAUAGAUGAAGCAGGUAAAAUGGAGCUUGUUCUCUAAUGCAGGCUGUGAAGUCUUUUAUAUGCCUUUGGGUAACCUGUGGACUAUAUAAAAGCCA